rnacentral:lncRNA from 1 species
AAAACACACCACACGCCGAUGACCGACGAGACUUGCAGUGUCGACGGUGUCACUGACAAUGGCAGCACACGUUGCCAGCACUUGGGGUCCAUCAGGAGCAUCGAUAACGUGAGGCCCAGCACAAGUCGCGCUGGCAUGGAAGAAGCAUCAGCCAAGUUUGAAGACAGCGCCACGAAUGCUACUGGAACCAGAGGAAGAGAACAGCAAGUGCUCUGCGGCGCCAGUGGAAAGGUUUUCAG